rnacentral:lncRNA from 1 species
AAAUUUUCUCACCACUAAGAGCUCCUUUGGUAUAUGCCCUAGAAGAUACCAUCUUCCAAAUGACAUUCACUUUUGCUUGAAUUCUAAAAAGCACACCUGUAACUUGUGCCAUCUGCAUGGGAGAUGCAUGUGUGGUCAUUGUCUAAAUUUAGUGUAAAACUUGGUGGGAGAAAUGACUCAUCCUAAAUUGUAGGUGUGGGAGAUGUGGCAUUAACUAAUGGUGUGUUAGGCCUGUUGAAAGAUCAUGUGCUACUUCCCUUCUGACUGGGAUGCGGAGCGCAGCCUGGAUCCUGCCUGCCCUGCUCCUUUUCCUAUUAGUCCACGGCUCCCUCCCAUCCCGGAGUCGCUCUCCUAGAUUGCUCACCUAGAUCGUUGCCAGUUCCCUACCCUGAGGUCCCAGACCACAGGUGACGCCUCAGCCUCCUUGUCAUUUCCUGCCACCUGCCUCAAGUGCCCUCACACUGGUCCCAGCUAGUCACGCACAGCCCUCCCCUCCCUACCUGCUUCACCCUCGUAGCCCACUGCAGGGAAAUGAAACCGCCUCUGCUCAGGUCUUUCAUGACCUUCAGUGUUCUUCAUGUUGCUGAUGCGAAACAGGCAACAAGAGCAGCCUAAGGGAAGAGGGCGUGUUUCAGUCACGUGACAGAGCAGGCAUGGCGCCGGGGGCUGGGAGCCACUGGUCACACUGGAAUGGUGCCAACCCGAUUUCAAGGUGGGGCUUCCCACCUCCAUUAAACCUCUCUGGAAACAUGCUCACAAACAAGCCCAAAGUUUAACUCAUACUUGACUCUAAAUCCCCUCAGUCCUGAGGCCUAGUUGCCUUAUCUGAAGAAAUAAGGCCCUUUCAGCUGGACUUGGUCUGCCUACCUGAGCAAAGCAGCUAAUUCCCAGCAAGAUCUGAAUGGUUGUAGCCACACUUGCUUUUUUAAAAGAGCGUUAGCCCUGUAAAUCUCUUUGUGGAGUGCCUAGAUUGAACUCCAGCCCACCACUCCGACUCUGCCAUGCCUGGCUUCUCUCUCUUGGGAAGGGACACCUCCCUCACUGUCACAGUGCCAGAAAUUUCUCUAGGGAUUUGGAAUAUAAGUAAAGAGAUUAUGAAGGUUGGCCCCAGACUUUUUCACUGGCCUAACCACUCUACUUUCCUCUCUGGGACCAGCUGUGGCCUCCUGUCUCCUGGAUACAGGCUCAGCUUGCAUCGUUUUGCAGGUGCUUCACAUAUUCUCAACAGGCUGGGCAAAGGAAAGCAGGGAGCUUGGUGGCAGCGCUGACCCUGGAGCAAGUCUGCCAGAGUGGCUUGCUUGUUGAGCCAGGUUACCAGUUACUAUCUCCUUAAAUUCUUUGUUAAUUUCAUUAGCUUGUUCUCAUGCUGUAGCCAGCCAAGACAUCUGUUGUCAACCUUAGACUUCUACCCUUACAUACACACGUGGGGAAAACCCCUCAGCAUUCUGGUAUAACAUAGUUUAUGUGUCUGUAUGUGUCGUCUGUAGAUAGGGAGAACCUGGUUCUGAACCCGUCAGACUCUUGAAGGCUUGGACCAGCCUGAACUCUCUCCAGCUGGCUGGUGAGUCCUUGUAGGUGCCUUCCUGCCUCUGCAUCUAGAGGUCACCCUGCCUUGACAAGGGUCUGGAUCUGAGUUGGUGCUCUCACUCUCCUGUGCUGAGGAAAUCCUCUACAGUGAGAUGGCGAGUGGACUAAAGAAUAGUAGCUGUCAUAAGCAGGUCUGCAGAAAUGCCACUUCUAUAAUAGACAUUAACUAAGCCACUCACUGUCACAGCUUCAGAGAGUAGUUUUUGAAUAUCACCUAUGACAGAUCUCUUUGUAGUACCAAAGAGACCUAUAUUCUUUAUGGCGAUGAGCACUGACUUUAUUCGUAUUUAUUAUUUUAUAUUAGAAUUCAUUGCAGUUUAACAGGCCUUGAGCAUGUAUCGUAUAUUGGACAUUGGGUUAGUCUCCUGGGGGGGGGGAGGUAACUGGGUCACACAGCCCCUGUUUUUGUUAGCAGAAGUGACCAGUCUCAAGAGAAUGGGUUCAGAACAGUAGCAUAGAAGACUUUCCUGUUUGUUUCUUGUGAAAGCUGUUUCUGCUGGAGCCUGUGAAUGAGAUCAGCCUAGUUGCUGAUCAUAUGCUAAGACUGGCACAUACUAGUAGUCCAGUGUGGUCAACUUAAUAGCAGUUCCAACCUGCCUCUUCCCGGUGCGGCUUGGCCUACCAUUUCCCCCUCCAGCCCCUGGAGCUAGAGGAGUGCCCACCAUUCUGUUGAGGUGCUCACUGUAGGAAGGCAUCUGAGACCUGUGGGAAUCCCCCUGGCAGAGCCUUCAGCCCAGGGCAUUGGUAGAGCCACUGAAGAACUGAAUUCCAAAGACAGGGUUCCUUUGUCUCUUUUCUUUGCCUCAGGCCAGCAGGGCGGGUUUCUGCAAGUUUCCCGGUCAAAGCGGCUCCCCCCACCCCCACCCCUCCCAACAGGCUGCAAAGCAGUCUGGGAAAGUGGGAAGCAGAUUAAAUGAAUCUCAGUGUGCUGAGCAUGGCAGGGGGUGAGACUGUUGGGUCAUUCCAGAAAUAGCCCAAACUCUUUGUUACUAGAGCAGGUGAUGCGCCAUAGGCCUUCCUGACGGCAAAGCCACACAGCUGUGAACCUUACUGUUCACAGAACGCACACCCUUCUCUGCCCCCGGGUUCUGCCUCCUGUAAUCUGUCCCAGGAUUAUGAUGGACACUAGAACUUCUGGUGUCAGCAUGAAGGAGUUUAUCUUCUUGCUAUGAGACC